rnacentral:rRNA from 1 species
UACGUAGGGUGCAAGCGUUAAUCGGAAUUACUGGGCGUAAAGCGUGCGCAGGCGGUUGGCCGUGUCCGAUGUGAAAGCCCCGGGCUUAACCUGGGAAUGGCAUUGGAAACUGGCUGGCUGGAGUGUGGCAGAGGGGGGUGGAAUUCCACGUGUAGCAGUGAAAUGCGUAGAGAUGUGGAGGAACACCGAUGGCGAAGGCGGCUUUCUGGGCCCUACCUGACGCUGAGACGCGAAAGCGUGGGGAGCGAACCGG